AAAACCUGACAUGGACCAAAAAAGCUUUCUCCGGUUGAUUUUUCUCAUAGUCACAGCUGGUUUCAUUCUCUCUUUUACUUCCACUUACUUCUCUCACGCGCCGUCGUCCACGACGGGGAUUCUUGAUUGCACCGACUCUUCUUCUUCACCUCUUUGCGCUUCUAGAAACUUUCUUUUCAACAAACAACAACCACGUCCCAUUCCUAAACACGAUCCUAAACCAAAAACCAAAAACCAUGAUCACUUCUCCGAUACACCAAACCAUCCUCUAGACCCACUUACGGUGGUGGAGAUUAACAAAGUCCGAUCAAUACUCAACACUCACGCGCUUUUCACCUCCGGUACACCACACGCGCUCCACACCGUCGUUCUUGAAGAGCCUGACAAGAAUCUUGUCCGUCACUGGGAAAAAGGUAACCCACUUCCUCCGAGGAAAGCUUCCGUCAUCGCACGUGUUGGCCCCGACACGCACGUGCUCACCGUUGAUAUCUCUACGGGUCGGGUAGAUUCAGAGAAUAGCCCGGUUAGUGUUUCGGGUUACCCGAUGAUGACUAUCGAGGAGAUGAACGCUAUGACUGUUGUACCGUUCGCAAACGCAGAUUUCAACCGUACGAUCAUCUCUCGUGGAAUUAAUCUAACGGACGUGAUUUGUUUCCCAAUCUCUAGUGGUUGGUUUGGUAAUAAAGAAGAAAACGCGAGGGUUAUUAAAAGUCAGUGUUUCUUGACACAAGGAACACCUAACUUCUACAUGCGUCCUAUCGAAGGUCUAACCAUCCUUGUCGAUUUAGAUACAAAGCAAGUGAUCGAGAUAUCCGAUACGGGUCGGGCUAUACCCAUACCCGGUUCAACAAAUACCGAUUACCGCUUCGAAAAACUCGUGACCACCGACAAAACCCGACUUCUAAACCCCAUAUCCAUCGAGCAGCCACGUGGUCCAAGCUUCGUAAUCGAGGACAACCAUCUUGUGAAAUGGGCAAAUUGGGAAUUUCAUCUAAAACCUGACCCGAGAGCAGGUGUGGUUAUAUCACGGGUCAGAGUACACGACCCGGAUACUCAAGAGACACGUGAAGUGAUGUACAAAGGGUUUGUGUCAGAGCUUUUUGUUCCGUACAUGGAUCCAUCGGACGCGUGGUACUUCAAGACUUACAUGGACGCAGGGGAAUACGGGUUCGGGUUACAAGCCAUGCCACUCGUACCACUUAAUGAUUGUCCACGAAACGCAGCGUAUAUGGACGGAGUUUUCGCGGCGGCCGAUGGAACACCGUUCGUGAGAGAAAACAUGGUUUGUAUCUUUGAGAGUUACGCCGGAGAUAUUGGGUGGCGCCACUCCGAAAGUCCCAUCACCGGUAUACCGGUAAGUCUCUUUGUUUAUGGGUUUUAUUUACAUAGAAAAAAAUAUUAGGAUUUAAAAGGGUAAAUCUUAAAAGAUUGAGUGUGUUUAAUGUAAGUAAAUUAUUAUUUGGAUUUAGUAGAUAAGGGAAGUGAGACCAAAAGUGACGCUAGUGGUACGAAUGGCAGCUUCGGUAGGUAACUAUGAUUACAUCAUUGAUUACGAGUUCCAAACUGAUGGGCUUAUAAAAGCUAAGGUAAUUUUCUACUUUAUAUCAUUUCUAAAAUAUAAAAGAUUCCAUAUGAUUCCGUGGGAUAAUGAAUAUUCGUUUUUUUGUCACUAACUAAUGUAUAAGUGAUAAUGACAGGUUGGGCUUAGUGGAAUACUAAUGGUGAAAGGGACAACAUAUCAAAACAAGAACCAAGUGGAGAAAGACAGAGAAGGUAAUGAAGAAGAGCUUCACGGCACGCUUCUGUCUGAAAAUGUAAUCGGAGUAAUUCACGAUCACUACGUCACUUUUUACCUUGAUCUUGACGUCGAUGGCCCGGAUAAUUCAUUUGUUAAAGUGAACCUCAAGAGGCAAGAGACCGAGCCAGGUGAGUCACCGAGGAAAAGUUACCUGAAAGCUGUUAGGAACAUUGCGAAAACCGAAAAGGAUGGUCAGAUCAAGCUUAGCUUGUAUGAUCCAUCGGAAUUCCACGUCAUCAACUCUGGUAAAACCACUCGGGUUGGGAACCCAACGGGUUAUAAGGUCGUUCCUAGAACUACGGCAGCUAGUCUGCUUGACCAUGAUGAUCCACCGCAGAAGAGAGGAGCUUUUACUAAUAACCAAAUUUGGGUUACUCCAUACAAUAAGUCCGAGCAAUGGGCUGGUGGUUUGUUCACUUACCAAAGCCAUGGUGAUGAUACUCU
rnacentral:lncRNA from 1 species